GUUAAAUAAUUUGGCAGGAAUUUGUGUACUUUUGUUGCGGUCUUUUUCUUGCAGUGUGUGCAGGAUGGGCUCCCUUCAGAGUAGUGGUUCGUCCGCAUGGUCUCGUAAUCGCGGUUGGGUACUGGUACGGGUACUCCUCUCCCCGCGCAUCCGCGUUCAAGCCCCUGGGCUGCAAGACAGCCUUCUGAUGCACCGGAGGGCUGCUUGUGCCUCGGGGGCUCGCGGUGCGUCAGUGAGAGCAGGAGUGCAGGUGAGUUCCGCCCUGGCAAAACGACUGUUUGAGUUCGGACGCAUUCGACCCGCCCCUGCAGCCGCCAAGAGGACGGCGCGCGAACUGCCCGGUACUUGCCACCAGCUUGUCAGUGUGAGCGCCGGAAGGGAGGUCUCUGGAGCGGCUUCGGAUUUCGAGCCAGUCGCAGUCUUGGUCUGAUCCCCAGAGCGUGGCCAGUCCAGCGACCGCACCAGCAACUCGUAGGUGACAUUUUUACUGAGCUCUGGCGGCACUACAUGAACGGACGACACGCCAUCCCGAGAUAUUCGUCGUCAGUUCACCAGCUUACUCCCCAAUGCGUGCCCAGGCGCCAGAGCUGCGGGAAAGCCUCCAGCGCCCU